rnacentral:rRNA from 1 species
AUUGAACGCUGGCGGAAUGCUUUACACAUGCAAGUCGAGCGGCAGCGCGGGGCAACCUGGCGGCGAGCGGCGAACGGGUGAGUAAUACAUCGGAACGUGCCCAGACGUGGGGGAUAACUACUCGAAAGAGUGGCUAAUACCGCAUACGAUCUGAGGAUGAAAGCGGGGGAUCGCAAGACCUCGCGCGUCUGGAGCGGCCGAUGGCAGAUUAGGUAGUUGGUGAGGUAAAGGCUUACCAAGCCUGCGAUCUGUAGCUGGUCUGAGAGGAUGAUCAGCCACACUGGGACUGAGACACGGCCCAGACUCCUACGGGAGGCAGCAGUGGGGAAUUUUGGACAAUGGGCGAAAGCCUGAUCCAGCCAUUCCGCGUGCAGGAUGAAGGCCCUCGGGUUGUAAACUGCUUUGUACGGACGAAAAGCUCCGGCUAAUACCUGGAGUCCAUGACGGUACCGUAAGAUAAGCACCGGCUAACUACGUGCCAG